GACGAACGCUGGCGGCGUGCUUAACACAUGCAAGUCGAGCGGUAAGGCCCCUUCGGGGGUACACGAGCGGCGAACGGGUGAGUAACACGUGGGUGACCUGCCCUCAGCUCUGGGAUAAGCCUGGGAAACUGGGUCUAAUACUGGAUAUGACUCCACGGUGCAUGUCGUGGGGUGGAAAGCCUUGUGCGGCUGAGGAUGGGCCCGCGGCCUAUCAGCUUGUUGGUGGGGNGAUGGCCUACCAAGGCGACGACGGGUAGCCGGCCUGAGAGGGCGACCGGCCACACUGGGACUGAGACACGGCCCAGACUCCUACGGGAGGCAGCAGUGGGGAAUCUUGCGCAAUGGGCGAAAGCCUGACGCAGCGACGCCGCGUGAGGGAUGACGGCCU
rnacentral:rRNA from 1 species